UCAAGAAUGUAAUUAUUCUGGGAACUCAUUCACAAAAGACAUUUUCAAUCAAAAAUGCAAACUCUUCCCUACCAUUUUCAAUACUACGACUUUGUAAUAAGCAGAGAAGAAAUGUUAGCAAUCCUCUUUGUAACAAAACGAUUCCAACAAGAUUUAGCAACGUAAAAUUUUGCAAUUCUAACGGAGUACGGUGCAACCUUUCCGAAGAAUAUCAUAUGGAAUUUUUCCCUACUCCAGAAGCUCUUUGGUUCUUUCCUCCUUGACCUUUAUUUGGUCAUUGCUCUGUUUGUGUUUUCAAUUUCAAGGUAUGUAACAACGUUUAUCUUAAAUAGAAUUAACUUUGAGUUUGAAAUUUGUGUUUGAAACCUGUUUUCAUUUGGCUGAAUUUUGCUAUUAGUUUUAGCAUCCUUGACUUGUUGAAUUUAGAGUUAAUUAAUGUCCAUAAACCCUGUGUUGAUAUUACUUUAAAUAGCUGCUGCAUUUGUUCAUGAAAUCUGAAAUGACUGUGCUGCAUAUGUCAAUGUUGGGUGGCUGAAUCAAUAUGUCUAUAUACUAUAAAACUAUGUUCAAAAUUACUCUUUUGAUAGCAGCACUAAAGGAAAUGAAUCUAACCCUUUAAAUGGUCAGAUUCACUCCUUAAAUAGUGCAUAAGAUUCUGGACUCCUCUAGCAUAUGUCUAAGUUGUUUCCCUUCCCCCCUUUCUUUUUUCUUUACUAAGAAGAGAACUUGGAGUAGGAUUAUGGUUUGGAAGUCUUUGUUCGUUUAUGGGGCUGACCUUAAAACAUGGUCAGAUUUAUGAACAAUAUUGCUUUUCCUUUUACUCGUUUUUUUGCAUUAGGUUAGUUAAGAUUGAUUUGAUAAUACUGUAGGUUUUUACAUUUGAAGAAAUUUUUUAAGGCUGACCUUUUCACAUGGUCAGAUUCAUGAAAGUCUAGGCUGAAAUAGAAGCCUGAUGAGCAGUAGGAAGCUUCAGAGUUGGAAUGGUAUCCUGUAAGAAACAACUCUAUAGAUGAUUUCCUGCAGGUUGAAGUUGCCUUUUUGAAAGAUUUUGUAACAGCUAGGAGACUCCAAAUUUGGAAGGAAGACGGUUUUUUUGCCUUAGCCUUUUUCUAGAUAUAUAAUUGUAUUCAGUAAAGUUAUGUAAAUUCAUGGACAUUCAGCAGAGAAAAAAGACUGUUAUAAUGAUUCUUAAAUUCAGUUUUCAUUUAACUUA